rnacentral:rRNA from 1 species
GACGAACGCUGGCGGCGUGCUUAACACAUGCAAGUCGAACGGAAAGGCCCUGCUUUUGUGGGGUGCUCGAGUGGCGAACGGGUGAGUAACACGUGAGUAACCUGCCCUUGACUUUGGGAUAACUUCAGGAAACUGGGGCUAAUACCGGAUAGGAGCUCCUGCUGCAUGGUGGGGGUUGGAAAGUUUCGGCGGUUGGGGAUGGAUUCGCGGCUUAUCAGCUUGUUGGUGGGGUAGUGGCUUACCAAGGCUUUGACGGGUAGCCGGCCUGAGAGGGUGACCGGCCACAUUGGGACUGAGAUACGGCCCAGACUCCUACGGGAGGCAGCAGUGGGGAGUAUGGCACAAUGGGCGGAAGCCUGAUGCAGCAACGCCGCGUGCGGGAUGACGGCCUUCGGGUUGUAAACCGCUUUCGCCUGUGACGAAGCGUGAGUGACGGUAAUGGGUAAAGAAGCACCGGCUAACUACGUG